rnacentral:rRNA from 1 species
GACGAACGCUGGCGGCGUGCUUAACACAUGCAAGUCGAACGGAAAGGCCCUGCUUUUGUGGGGUGCUCGAGUGGCGAACGGGUGAGUAACACGUGAGUAACCUGCCCUUGACUUUGGGAUAACUUCAGGAAACUGGGGCUAAUACCGGAUAGGAGCUCCUGCUGCAUGGUGGGGGUUGGAAAGUUUCGGCGGUUGGGGAUGGACUCGCGGCUUAUCCGCUUGUUGGUUGGGUAGUGGCUUACCAAGGCUUUGGCGGGUAGACGGCCUGAGAGGGUUAGCGGACACAUUGGGACUGAGAUACGUGCGAGACUGCUACGUGAGGCAGCAGUUGGUAAUAUUGCACAUGGGGCGGAAGCCAGAAGCAGCAACGCCGCGGGCGGGAUAACGGCCUUCGGGUUGUAAACCGCUUUCGCCUGUGACGAAGCGUGAGUGACGGUAAUGGGUAAAGAAGCACCGGCUAACUACGUG